UACGUAGGGUCCGAGCGUUGUCCGGAAUUACUGGGCGUAAAGAGCUCGUAGGCGGUUUGUCGCGUCGGAUGUGAAAACCCAGGGCUCAACCCUGGGCCUGCAUUCGAUACGGGCAGACUAGAGUAUGGCAGGGGAGACUGGAAUUCCUGGUGUAGCGGUGAAAUGCGCAGAUAUCAGGAGGAACACCGGUGGCGAAGGCGGUUCUCUGGGCCUUACCUGACGCUGAGGAGCGAAAGCGUGGGGAGCGAACAGG
rnacentral:rRNA from 1 species